rnacentral:rRNA from 1 species
GACAGAGGGUGCAAACGUUGUUCGGAAUUACGGGGCGUAAAGCGCGUGUAGGCGGCCCUGUAAGUCGGGUGUGAAAUCCCACGGCUCAACCGUGGAAGUGCAUUCGAAACUACAGGGCUAGAGUUCUGGAGAGGAAGGUGGAAUGCUUGGUGUAGAGGUGAAAUUCGUAGAUAUCAAGCGGAACACCGGUGGCGAAGGCGGCCUUCUGGACAGUAACUGACGCUGAGACGCGAAAGCGUGGGGAGCAAACAGG